UCGGAGAGGAUGUGCUCGCAUCCUGGGAAGCGCAACCCAAACAAAUUCUGCCUCUAUCAUCGUGACCACGGCCAUGACACGGAAGAGUGUAUUCAGCUCUGAGAUGAGAUCGAGGAGCUCAUUAGACGAGGUCGGCUUGAUAGAUUCAUUCGACGCCGACCUGAAGGAAGGGAAGAUCGGCCUAGGGCCCUGUCAUAGUCGAAACCGCC
rnacentral:lncRNA from 1 species